rnacentral:rRNA from 1 species
GUCCAGGGGGCCGCCUUCGCCACCGGUAUUCCUCCAGAUCUCUACGCAUUUCACCGCUACACCUGGAAUUCUACCCCCCUCUACAAGACUCUAGCCUGCCAGUUUCGAAUGCAGUUCCCAGGUUGAGCCCGGGGAUUUCACAUCCGACUUGACAGACCGCCUGCGUGCGCUUUACGCCCAGUAAUUCCGAUUAACGCUUGCACCCUCCGUAUUACCGCGGCUGCUGGCACGGAGUUAGCCGGUGCUUCUUCUGCGGGUAACGUCAAUCGAUGAGGUUAUUAACCUCACCGCCUUCCUCCCCGCUGAAAGUGCUUUACAACCCGAAGGCCUUCUUCACACACGCGGCAUGGCUGCAUCAGGCUUGCGCCCAUUGUGCAAUAUUCCCCACUGCUGCCUCCCGUAGGAGUCUGGACCGUGUCUCAGUUCCAGUGUGGCUGGUCAUCCUCUCAGACCAGCUAGGGAUCGUCGCCUAGGUGAGCCGUUACCCCACCUACUAGCUAAUCCCAUCUGGGCACAUCUGAUGGCAUGAGGCCCGAAGGUCCCCCACUUUGGUCUUGCGACGUUAUGCGGUAUUAGCUACCGUUUCCAGUAGUUAUCCCCCUCCAUCAGGCAGUUUCCCAGACAUUACUCACCCGUCCGCCGCUCGUCACCCGAGAGCAAGCUCUCUGUGCUACCGCUCGACUUGCAUGUGUUAGGCCUGCCGCCAGCG